rnacentral:lncRNA from 1 species
CUUUGUGGUACACGAAUGUUGAUGAUCUGAAUCCAGAAGCAUGGUAUGUGUUCUCCCCCUGUUUACUAGUACAGUCUUGCUAUGAUAGCCUUCUAUUUGAUACAUUUGUUCACCUGUUUACACAUAUCUGGUUUAGUUAGUACUGUCAUGCAAUGCUAGCCUGCUAUGUGAUACAUUUGUUUUUCUGUUUUUCUGAACUCUGAACAUGCAGAUGGUCUUUGUUGGUGUCAAACUGUCAAAUAUUUGCAUGAUAUGCAGCUAUGUGUUUCUGUAUGAUAUGAAUCCACAUGUAUAUGAUAUGAUGCUCAGUUGUUGUAAUUUAAAAAUGGUUAUGACAGAAACAGAAAGCAAAUAAGUGUAUCCAUCUUAUUUGAAACUCUGAACAUUUAGUCUCUCCUUGACGGCCUUUGUACUGUACUUAACUAGUAAUAAGAAAUCCUUUCUUAUAUUUCGGUAGAUUAGAAUACUGCCUAGUCAAUCUUAAAAAUUACAAAUGAAAUGUUCUUUGCUUAAAUGUGAUGUCUUUUUUUUUGUUAAACCCUGUUGUUAUAUGAAGUCGAUUGUUUGAUCAUCUAGUGUUGUCUCGGUAGGGGAGUGGAUUCUCACCCACCUGGUGGGUUCCUUGGUUUUUUUAAGAACAUGCCAAGCCUUUCCCAAGCUGUGAGCAAUGGGACUUCAUCGCAACAAAUCAAGAAAGGAGAUGCCACCAAUGGUGGCGAGUGUGCAAGGACUGAAAAGCGCUUGCUGUGGACAAAAGAGGAAGAUCUUAGAUUGGUAAGCUUUUUUUCCAUGUUGGUCUCCAUGUGUUACAUUACUAGGAGAAGAAUAAACCUCUUUUGGUAAUAUUGUAGGUUGGUGCUUGGUUGAAUAAUUCAAACGAUCCAAUCCAAUCAAAUUACAAGAAGAACGACCAAUACUGGAACGAAGUUGCUGCUGUCUACAAUAGUACCACUCCCAAAAACAGGGAAAGGCUAGUCAAGCAAGUGAAGGAUCGCUUUGGGAGAAUUAAGAAAAGGGUUGCAUGGUUUUGUGGGAGUUACAAGGAAGCUAGUGCACUGUAUGCUAGUGGUGAAUCUGAUGCAGAUUUAAAGAAGAGGGCAAUGCAAACUUAUGAGGCAGAUCACCCAGGAGACGGUCCAUUUAUGUUUGAGCAUUGUUGGGUAGUUCUAAAAGAGCAACCAAAAUGGGAUGCAUAUUUGGAACGCCUAGAAGAUGUGGAGCCGGACAAGAAGAUGUAGUCAAUAGUCAAAUUACACUUAACUAUAGUGUAUUUCAGAUAACCAUGUAGAAGUGCAAAAAAUCAUGUAGUCAAUAGUCAAAUUACACUUAACUACAAUGCAUUCCAGAUAACCAUGUAGAAGUGCAAAAAAUCAUGUAGUCAAUAGUCAAAUUACACUUAACUACAGUGCAUUCCAGAUAACCAUGCAACCAUAAUUAUACACUCAGGACACUUGAGACAUCUAUAUAAUGCCCCAUCUCAGGUUUAGACUCAUCCACCCAAACCCAUCUUCCUUCCCAUACCUCUCAUCUUCCUGCUCAGCCUACAAACCAAUCUUCCUCACCCACCAUGUCAGAUUCAUCAUCAUACUCAGAUGACUCUGAUGAACUAGCCCCAUCCAAAAUCAUGGAAGAGUAUGUUGCUGAGCAAACCGUCUUGGACUCCUUUGCCGAGCGACUCAUGAUGAAGAUCAAGGCUAGGAUUUCAGCUGGAUCAUCUCAGCGACAAAGUGGUCCAAGGAAGAUCAUUCGAAGGGAUCAUGGAGGUGCUCAUGAACGUUUGGUGGAGGACUAUUUUGCUGCUGAUCCACUCUACGACGAGAGUAUGUUUCGUACAAGAUUUCGCAUGAAUAAACACCUCUUCCUACGCAUUGUGAAUGCCCUUGGUCAGUGGUCUCCCUAUUUCACUUAUAGGGCAGAUUGUUCUGGCCGAAUAGGCCUCUCACCAUUGCAGAAGUGUACUGCAGCCAUGCGCAUGCUAGCGUAUGGCACCCCUGCAGAUGCCCUUGAUGAGUACUUGAAGAUUGGGAAGUCCACUGCAUUAGAGUGUAUGGACAAGUUUGCACGGGGUGUGAUUGCGGUGUUUGACGGGGAAUACUUGCGACGCCCCACAAGAGAGGAUAUUGAGCACUUGCUUCAGGUUAAUGAGUCUCGUGGUUUUCCUGGAAUGUUAGGAAGUAUUGAUUGCAUGCACUGGUGAUGGGAUAAGUGUCCUUUAGCAUGGAGGGGGCAAUUCACCCGUGGUGAUUAUGGAGUGCCUACAAUGAUCCUAGAAGCCGUUGCUUCCCAGGACCUUCGUAUUUGCCAUGCUUUCUUUGGAAUUGCUGGGUCAAACAAUGACCUUAAUGUGCUCAACCAGUCCCCACUGUUUUUUGAUGCCUUGAAAGGAGAAGCCCCUCAAGUUCAGUUUUCAGUCAAUGGAAAUGAGUAUAGCACGGGUUACUACCUUGCUGAUGGUAUAUACCCAGAGUGGGCUGCCUUCAUGAAGACCAUACCACUUCCCCAAACAGAUAAACAUAAGUUAUUUGCCAAGUACCAAGAAGGGGCAAGGAAAGAUGUGGAGCGUGCUUUUGGGGUAUUGCAGUCCCGCUUUACCAUUGUUCGCCGGCCUGCACGACUAUGGCAGAGAAAGAGUGUUGGAAGGAUCAUGCGAGCAUGUGUGAUUCUCCACAAUAUGAUAGUCGAAGAUGAGAGAGAGCAAGUUAACGUUCAUAUUGACUUGAAUGAGAUUCCAGGGGCUUCAUUUGAUCUACCCUCUGAAGUGAAUGUUGGUGGUAAUCUUUGUUUUGCUGAUGUACUGCGUAGGAAAGCUACCAUCCGUGCUCGUCCACAACAUAACCAACUUAAAAAUAUUCUGGUCGAGCAUAUUUGGCAUAGGGCUCAAAAUAGGCAUCACAAUUAGUCACGGUGGGAUAUUGACAUCUGCAUGUUACUAUUCUUUUUUCCUUCCUGUUAACGGAGGAUCAACAUUAUAUCUUACAUACAUUUUAUUCCAGGACUAUGCCGUGUCGUGGUGACUGCUGCAUGUGCAACCUACUCGUAUGCAUUCUCUACUUACAGUUUAGUCUUUUAUAGCUUGUUCAUGUUCCUAUUGGCAAUGUACUUGAUUUUACUGAACAUGUAUAGUUGUUGGAUUACAGAAGUUAUAGCCUAUAAUAGUGAAUCAUAAUGCAACUCUUACUGUCAUGAGCAUGCCAUCUUCAUCUCAUCAUCAUUUGCAUUCAUGCGGAAAUAUUUACCAUAUGCUUUGUUUCCAUUUUUUCAUACAGUGGCUGAAGAUUGUUGACGCAGAUGGAUUUGUCGCUCCUUUCUAUUGAAGUUCCAACUUAUCAUCGUCAAGAUCAAAACUAAUGGCUUAUUUGCAUUGUCUCUUGUUUGGUUAAUGUUUUCUUAAAAAGACUGGUGUAAUGUUUGAGUGUCGAUGUCAUGGUGUUAUGCGCCAUUAGUUUGUUGAUCGUCGACGCCAAGAUUAAAACUAACGGCUUGUUUGCCGGGCGUCUUAUUUAGUUCUAUGUUUGGUUAAUGCUUCCUUGGAAAGACUCAAGCAAUGUUCAACUGUUUUGUCAUGGUGCUAUGCGCAGCUGUUUCUUGCUUGUUUAUUAAUUAGUUUUCCUUGGUCUGUUCUAUUGACAUGAAUGGAAUAUAUGUAUACAUAAUUAUUGAAAUUGCUUGAAUAUUGAUCAGUUUCUUUUGGUA